AGCAAACUUGUUAAAAAGACUAACUUACCCUUUUUAAAAUUUAACCCACCCUCAACAAUUACCCACCCUCACCCACACCCUCACCCUCACCCUCACCCUCACGGCAAACAAAGAAAACGCCAUUGACGAUCAAAAUUCGAAGCUCCAAUUCCAGCAGCAAUAAUCGCGAGACGACAGUGGUGCCGCGCCGACCCACGCAGACGACCCACCCUCCUCUUCGUGCGACGCAACGACCACCAUCAUCCAUCACCUAAGAUGUCAAGUACUAGAGAAAGAGGUUGUAUUAGCCAGAAAGAUGGAAAUAAAGGAAAAGGAAAGAGGCAAUUACUUGACACUGAAGCACCAUCGGAGAAAAAUUAUAGUGGUCGACUUGGAAAAAAAAAUGACAGAACUCGAAAAGGUGUUACAAUGUCUGCGAGAGCUAGGGCUGUGAAAGCUAGAGAAGAAGUUUUAGCCCCUACUAGUAAAAAUGAUCGAGAGAAAACUCAUAUGGAGGACUUUACUAUCCCCAACUAUGUU